CUGGAACGGUGGGCACCGUGGGAAUAGUCGGGGUCGGCAAGCCCGACACCCCCGGAACGGCGGGGACCGUGGGAAUAGUCGGGGUCGGCAAGGCCGGAACACUUGGCACCGUAGGAACAAUUGGUGUCGGGUAAGGCAAAGCCGGGACUCCCGGAACCGUGGGCACCGAAGGAAUAGUAGGAGUCGGGUACGGCAAAGCCGGCACCGCAGGAAUGCCCGGAGGCAAGGCUGGCAGUGUCGGAUUCGGCAAAGACGGUAUGUCAGCGAGGAGCCUCGCCGCAUGGCACGUGCUGCCGCCGCCGCC
rnacentral:lncRNA from 1 species